AAUGAACGUUGGCGGCAUGGAUUAGGCAUGCAAGUCGAGCGAGAAGGGUUUUGAAGCUUGCUUUAGAACCCGGAAAGCGGCGAGAGGGAGAGUAACGAGUAGUUAUCUACCCCAAGGCCCGGAAUAGCUGCGGGAAACUGCAGGUAAUGCCGGAUAAUAUCCCCGGAUCAAAGGUGUGAUUCCGCCUUGGGAGGAGACUGCUUUGUACUAGCUUGUUGGUAGGGUAAUGGCCUAGCAAGGCUACGAUGCAUAGCGGGCGUGAGAGCGGGGCCCGUCUCACUGGGACUGAAACACUGCCCAGACACCUACGGGUGGCUGCAGUCGAGAAUCUUCGGCAAUGGGCGAAAGCCUGACCGAGCGAUGCCGCGUGCGGGAUGAAGGCCCUCGGGUUGUAAACCGCUGUCGUAGAGGAGAAAGGUCUCGUGAAGAGCGAGAUUUGAUCUAUUCUAGGAGGAAGUCGGGGCUAAGUUCGUGCCAGUCGCCGCUGUAAUAC
rnacentral:rRNA from 1 species